rnacentral:rRNA from 1 species
GAACGCUGGCGGCGUGCCUAAUACAUGCAAGUCGAGCGAACAGACGAGGAGCUUGCUCCUCUGACGUUAGCGGCGGACGGGUGAGUAACACGUGGAUAACCUACCUAUAAGACUGGGAUAACUUCGGGAAACCGGAGCUAAUACCGGAUAAUAUAUUGAACCGCAUGGUUCAAUAGUGAAAGACGGUUUUGCUGUCACUUAUAGAUGGAUCCGCGCCGCAUUAGCUAGUUGGUAAGGUAACGGCUUACCAAGGCAACGAUGCGUAGCCGACCUGAGAGGGUGAUCGGCCACACUGGAACUGAGACACGGUCCAGACUCCUACGGGAGGCAGCAGUAGGGAAUCUUCCGCAAUGGGCGAAAGCCUGACGGAGCAACGCCGCGUGAGUGAUGAAGGUCUUCGGAUCGUAAAACUCUGUUAUUAGGGAAGAACAAAUGUGUAAGUAACUAUGCACGUCUUGACGGUACCUAAUCAGAAAGCCACGGCUAACUACGU